GAUGAACGCUGGCGGCGUGCCUAAUACAUGCAAGUCGAGCGAACGGAUGAGAAGCUUGCUUCUCUGAUGUUAGCGGCGGACGGGUGAGUAACACGUGGAUAACCUACCUAUAAGACUGGGAUAACUUCGGGAAACCGGAGCUAAUACCGGAUAAUAUUUUGAACCGCAUGGUUCAAAAGUGAAAGACGGUCUUGCUGUCACUUAUAGAUGGAUCCGCGCUGCAUUAGCUAGUUGGUAAGGUAACGGCUUACCAAGGCAACGAUGCAUAGCCGACCUGAGAGGGUGAUCGGCCACACUGGAACUGAGACACGGUCCAGACUCCUAAGGGAGGCAGCAGUAGGGAAUCUUACGCAAUGGGCGAAAGCCUGACGGAGCAACGCCGCGUGAGUGAUGAAGGUCUUCGGAUCGUAAAACUCUGUUAUUAGGGAAGAACAUAUGUGUAAGUAACUGUGCACAUCUUGACGGUACCUAAUCAGAAAGCCACGGCUAACUACGUG
rnacentral:rRNA from 1 species